UGUAUUUUAAAAUCUGGGGCGCUACAGUAUAUAAGACAAUGAAAUCUAAAUCAAAUUUUCUACUGGGGACAGAAACAGUCCCAAAUCCUAAUUAACCACGGCUAUCCUCUAAUUUGGCUAGAAUUGAUAUCUUGAUUACUCCCCCUAAAAGUGAUGAGGAAUAUGAGGCGGCUAGUAGAGCUAAGUGUGUUAUUAAGACUUCUCAGUUUGAGGAUGUGGACAUGGAAGACCCACAUUUAGAUGUUGGUGUGUCAUUUGAAUCGACUGCUCAAUUCAGGAGAGCUGUGAGGGAAUACAAUUUGUUUAGGGGGAAAGAAGCAAAAUGAUGGGGACCGUGUGAUUGGAGUGUGUAGAAGUAGGGACAAGGGUUGUCCUUGGAGAGUUUAUGGCUCAUUGGUAACGAGUGAGAUGACUUUUAUGCUUAGGUCACUGAACCCUAAGCACCAGUGUACACGAUAUUCCAAGUCUUCGAUUGCAACGUCUAGGUGGAUUGCAGAUAGAAUGGUCCACAAAUUUAAGACGCAGCCAAACUAUCCACUUGUAGCUCUAUAUGAUGAUGGAAAAAGGAGAUGGAAUGUAGAUGUCAUUACUAGACAAUUGUACAGGGCUAAGGUGAAGGCUAAACAACAGAUAUAAGGUAAGCACAAAGAUCAGUACAAGCGACUAUGGGAUUAUUGUGCAACAGUGAGGUAGUUGAAUCGAGGGAGUACAAUGUUGAUGAAAGUUGAGAGGCCUACCUUAGAUGUCCCACCUACUUUUCAAAGUUGUAUAUGUCUUUGGCAGCAUGCAAGGAAGGUUUUAGAAAGGCUUGUGGGCCUGUGAUAGGUGUUGAUGACUACUUUCUUAAUGGACGUUAUGGGGGUCAAUUGUUGGCUGCUGUGGGAAGAGAUCCAAAUAACAAUAUUUAUCCCAUUUCAAUUGCUGUGGUUGAAGCUGAAACUAAGGAUAGUUGGUCCUGGUUUCUAGAGACUUUAGUGGUUGACCUUGGCCCAAACGGCUCUACUGGAUAGACAUUCAUUUCUGACAGGCAAAAUGUAUGUCUGUUUGCUUAGUUUGAAUAUUAAGUUAUUGUCUUUUCAUAUAUUUUCAUUUGUGCAUUGACUUUCAUGGUGUGAACUUUGUUUUCUAUUUUUAUAUAGUCUUUUGUUAUUUUCUGCCUUGAGAUUGAUACUAAGCUUCGAGGCGGUCCUACCAAGUGCAUCGCAUCACAUAUGUUUGAGACAUAUGUAUGCCAACUUUAAGGGUGAAGGGCACAAAGGACUGGUGCUAAAAGACAAGUUUUGAAAAGCAGUUGCUGCAUAUAUUGUUCAUGGUUUCCAAAGGAAAAUGAAGGCUAUGAAGAAAUUGAGUCCAGCUGCUCAUGUUUAUGUGGAGAAGAUUGACCCCCAUAUAAGGGCUAGGGCUUUUUUUGACAUCACCUCGAAGUGCGACUUGAUCAUGAACAACUUAUGUGAGUGCUUCAACUCUUUCAUCAUCAAAGCUCAAGACAACCCAAUCAUUACCAAGCUGGAGAUAAUUAGGAAGAAGUUGAUGAUGCGAUACCAGAAGAAGAGGUAGGGAAUAAGGGAGUAUGUAGGGGAGUGGUGCCCAAAGAUAUUGGCAAAGUUGGUGGAGUGUGGAAAGCAUGCUGCAGAGUGCACUUCUCAUUAUGCUGGGGAGGGGCUCUAUGAAGUGGAGUGCAGUUAUGGCUCAUUUGUAGUUGACUUGAUGCACCAUAGUUGUGGGUGCAGGCAGUGGGACAUGACUGGCAUUCCAUGCCCACAUGCCAUGUCAGCCAUUUUAUAUCAUUCCUCCAAGCCUGAACAGUACUUGCAUCACUACUAUAGUGUUGAGUAUUACAAAAUGGCUUACGACCCAAUGAUAUACACGGUGCCAAGCGAGGACCAAUGGGUCAGAAUCGGUCAAGAUGAGAUGGACCCACCUGUUGUUAGAGUUGCCACAGGCAGGCUCAAGAAAGUGAGGAGAAAAGGGGUCUUAAUGAGCCAAGAAAUCCAUAUUGCAUAAGAAAUGGCGGUGUGACCAUGAGAUGUUCAAAGUGUAGGGCGGUUGGCCACAAUGCUAGGACUUGCCCUAGGAGGAAGAAGGUGUCCACUCCAAGCAAAUCGUGAAUAAUUGUACCCACGAGCACUGCAACGGAGUUGAGCUUUGAUGAUAUUCAUUCUCAGCCAAUUGCUGAUAAUUCACAGCCAACACAGUCAUCUACACUUGCACCUCAUGUCUUAAGGCCCAGCAAGACAAUUGCAUCUAUCUCCUUCUACCAAAAGGAUUAAGACAAAAGUUGACUCAAUGCAUACUCGGCCAUCAGGAAAAAGAAACCCCACAAAUGUCACUGAACCCACAACUGCACCUCCUAGACAAAAGACAUUGGGCCUUGGCUAUCAUGGUGCACCUACUAGAAGAUCUGGUAGGUUGUUAGCUACGUUUAAGAAGCCGGAUCCCAAUAAAUAAAAAACAACUGUUGAUCUCACAAAGGACGCCCGUCAACCAGCAACUACACCAGCAGUGGUCAUUCGGGAACUCGCUAGGGCAUUAGGAGUUGUCAUUCGGGAACCCUUAAGGAGAUUUGUAAGAGUGCUGGUACCAACUGUUGAGAAGGGUAUCCAGCGCAUGGAAGCCAAGAACAAAGACAAAGGAAAAAGACCAAUAUGGUAGCCUUGAUGGGAUAUCGAAAAUAUUGUUGUGCAUGUGUUUAGGUUGGUUGGAAAAUGGCAGGGAACAUUUUGGUAUUGUUGGUUAUGUAUGAAUUGACAGUUUGACAUUAUGAUUGUGUUAGUAAGGCUAAGAGGUGUCCUUGGAGUUCUUGAAUUUAUGCUUAUGGAGCAACAAUGUUUGUAUGUUGUUCUUUGUGAUGUUGUUGGAAACAAUUGGUUGUUGUUGUUGGUUAUGUGGACUAUGUUGGUUUCAUGAUGUGGAUGUUGGUGACAUGAUUG